rnacentral:rRNA from 1 species
ACUCCUACGGGAGGCAGCAGUGGGGGAAUCUUGGACAAUGGGGGCGAACCCUGAUCCAGCCAUGCCGCGUGAGUGAUGAAGGCCUUAGGGUCGUAAAGCUCUUUCGCCUGUGAUGAUAAUGACAGUAGCAGGUAAAGAAACCCCGGCUAACUCCGUGCCAGCAGCCGCGGUAAUACGGAGGGGGUUAGCGUUGUUCGGAAUUACUGGGGCGUAAAGCGCGCGUAGGCGGAUUAGUCAGUUAGAGGUGAAAUCCCAGGGCUCAACCCUGGAACUGCCUUUAAUACUGCUAGUCUUGAGUUCGAGAGAGGUGAGUGGAAUUCCGAGUGUAGAGGUGAAAUUCGUAGAUAUUCGGAGGAACACCAGUGGCGAAGGCGGCUCACUGGCUCGAUACUGACGCUGAGGUGCGAAAGUGUGGGGGAGCAAACA